rnacentral:rRNA from 1 species
AAUCCUGAAUUCGAAAGGGGCCGGAUUCAAGUCCUACCGUGAGAACUGGGACGUCCCAGCCAGAUGGCGCCGGUCGCCCGCGGCGAUUCAUUUCGUCCGCGGUGUCGUUCCCGGCGAUCACUCGGCUGNGCGACGCUUUCCCUUCUCCGGAGGCCUGCACUUCCUCCCUAGUAGAAACGUCGCGACCCGUUGGGUGCCGGUCUAAGGCCCGGGAUGGCAGACCGCGCGUCCCGNGGGGUUUCCCACGGGCGCGCGGACUCCUGGUGACCCGGCCGGCUGCCCGACGGUAUGACCAGAGGGGUAGAUCCGCUAGUUGGGAAACACUAUGGCUGUGGAGCGUCCGGCCCGUCACCGAUGCGCGCGGGGAUUGAGGUGUAAAAGCUGGGGGUGCCCGUGCUUCGCACGGCCCCGGCCCCGUCGCGUCUUCUGGUGUUCGGUGUCCUCGGACCGGAUCAGCACCCCCGUCUGCGACGCCCACCUUCGGAUGGUCUCCCG